UCUUUAGAGGAAGUAAAAGUCGUAACAAGGUCUCCGUUGGUGAACCAGCGGAGGGAUCAUUACCGAGUUUACAACUCCCAAACCCCUGUGAACAUACCUAUACGUUGCCUCGGCGGAUCAGCCCGCGCCCCGUAAAACGGGACGGCCCGCCCGAGGACCCCUAAACUCUGUUUUUAGUGGAACUUCUGAGUAAAACAAACAAAUAAAUCAAAACCUUCAACAACGGAUCUCUUGGUUCUGGCAUCGAUGAAGAACACAGCAAAAUGCGAUAAGUAAUGUGAAUUGCAGAAUUCAGUGAAUCAUCGAAUCUUUGAACGCACAUUGCGCCCGCCAGUAUUCUGGCGGGCAUGCCUGUUCGAGCGUCAUUUCAACCCUCAAGCUCAGCUUGGUGUUGGGACUCGCGGUAACCCGCGUUCCCCAAAUCGAUUGGCGGUCACGUCGAGCUUCCAUAGCGUAGUAAUCAUACACCUCGUUACUGGUAAUCGUCGCGGCCACGCCGUUAAACCCCAACUUCUGAAUGUUGACCUCGGAUCAGGUAGGAAUACCCGCUGAACUUAA
rnacentral:rRNA from 1 species